AGAGUUUGAUCAUGGCUCAGAAUAAACGCUGGCGGCGUGCCUAACACAUGCAAGUCGAACGAGAAAGCCCGGCUUCGGUUGGGCGAGUAAAGUGGCGUACGGGUGAGUAACGCGUAGGUAACCUGCCCCCCUGUCCGGAAUAACAGUGCGAAAGCGCUGCUAAUACCGGAUGUUGUCAAGAAGCGGUGGCUUCUUGGGCAAAGUCGGCCUCUCAUUGAAGCUGGCGCAAGGGGAUGGGCCUGCGUCCUACCAGCUUGUUGGCAGGGUAACGGCCUACCAAGGCUACGACGGGUAGCUGGUCUGAGAGGAUGAUCAGCCACACUGGCACUGAAACACGGGCCAGACUCCUACGGGAGGCAGCAGUGAGGAAUUUUGCGCAAUGGCCGCAAGGCUGACGCAGCAACGCCGCGUGGGUGACGAAGGCCUUCGGGUCGUAAAGCCCUGUCUGGUGGGAAGAAUGGGCGGGGAAUUAAUAAUUUUCCGCAGUGACGGUACCACCGAAGGAAGCACCGGCUACUCCGUGCCAGCAGCCGCGGUAAUACAGAGGGUGCAAGCGUUAUUCGGAAUUACUGGGCGUAAAGCGCGUGCAGGCGGGCCGGCAAGUCUGAUGUGAAAGCCCCGGGCUCAACCCGGGGAGUGCAUUGGAAACUGUUGGUCUUGAGUUCUGGAGAGGAUGGGGGAAUUCCCGGUGUAGAGGUGAAAUUCGUAGAGAUCGGGAGGAAUACCAGUGGCGAAGGCGCCCAUCUGGACAGAAACUGACGCUGAGACGCGAAAGCGUGGGGAGCAAACAGGAUUAGAUACCCUGGUAGUCCACGCUGUAAACGAUGA
rnacentral:rRNA from 1 species